UACGAAGGGGGGCGAGCGUUGUUCGGAUUUACUGGGCGUAAAGGGCGCGCAGGCGGCGCAUUUUGUCAGGCGUGAAAGCCCCGGGCUUAACCUGGGAACUGCGUUUGAUACGGAUGGGCUAGAGUUCGGGAGAGGAGAGUGGAAUUCCCAGUGUAGAGGUGAAAUCCGUAGAUCUACGAAGGAACGCCAAAAGCGAAGGCAGCUCUCUGGGUCCCUACCGACGCUGGGGUGCGAAAGCAUGGG
rnacentral:rRNA from 1 species